GGGAGGCAGUAGCGUAUGAAGUGCGACGAGCAAGGAAUAUAGAUGAAAAUGAGGGGUAGAAGGUGGUCAAUAGGCAGCAGGCACCAAGGAGGAUGUGAACUCUUCAUAAGAAGCUAGAUGUAGCAGAGAAAACUUGGUCUUUGGAAUCAAGAAGCUCUGUUUGGAUGGACACAUGGGGGUG